UGCCACGGGUAGGGGUACAGGAAAGCUGGAGCUGACGCCACAAGAAGAAAGGGUUGCUGCAAUUGUUGGAGAAACCCUCCUAUCUGGUGUCCUCCCAGCAUGUGACGGUGACUCAGACGUGUAUUACUCCUGUGACGUCACAUUCUAUAUUAUCCGUCAUGUUGUUGGAGAUGCAACCAAACAUAUUGUUACGGACAGAACUGGCCGGAGACACAAGGAAGGGUAUGAUAUAGUUUAUUGAAGCACAAGUAAGUAGAUAGUGAAUGGAAGGAAGUAUACUGUCCUUUGAAUGGAUGUGGCAGAGUUCUGGAGUCGAGUGGCGAAGCACAGAGGAGCCGGUCCACACGGGCCAGGAGACUGGAGCGAUACACACGGAAGACGAGAGACACGGGACCAGGAGCUGGAGAGGAUAACUCACGGAGGACUGGAGACACACGGGGACUGGAGCUGGUGUGUCACACACGGAGAACAGGAGCACGAAGGAGCCGGAGAAGAGGUACCGGGUACUGGAGGUAGUCUGCUCAGGAAAAGGGAGUCCUAGGCGUUUAAUGAUUCAGGGGAACUAGCGUUCUAUCCUUAGUCACUAACGAGACCGGACACAGACAGUGGUGAGGAGCUGGGUUAUAUAGGGGAGUAGAGUGGCUGAUUACGUGCAGGUGUGAGAUAGGUGACAGGUGAUUGGCAUUAGUAUUCAGGAGAGGGAGUGCGAUGUGAAGGGGAGCCUGGAGUGCGAAGUGAAGGGGAGCCUGGUGUGUCUGUGACACAUAUCAGGAGGUGCCUGUUUCAGUGUGCAAAGAAGAUAUGGAGUUGAUUUUUAUCUCUUUUUUGCGGUACAUAUGUCAACAUGGCAUCCAGUUACAUUUCUGUGCUCCAGCCAAGUGCUCUAGCGUGCUAAAAACAAAAGUUGAAACUUUGUGGACUGAAGGAUUUUCCCUACAGAUUGCCUGGUGAUGCUUGGUUAAUGAUCCUCAAGAAUGGCCACCAGUUGACUUCGGCAAUAUUUGCCUUUACCUGACAGACACUCCUGGUUAGUACAUAUCGAUUUUACUUAUCGAAAUCUUGAAAUGUGUCAUUAUUUGCUCAUGCUAUGGAUGGCUGAUAUAAUGAUUACUUGUAAUGGCUUUGUUUGGAAUUUGAGAAUGAUAAUAUUGGUUUGAGUGUACUACAUUGUAACAUAAUAAAAAGUUUUAUUUCUAUGACUUCUUAUGUAUUCACCCAUCUGCUGUAUAUAAUUUUUGUAUAUAAUGUUUGUUUUUGAGUAGCAUAAAGGGAACUACAACUUAAUCUCUGUUGUAAAAUGAUAAAUAAAUCUACCUUAUACCUUGUUAGAUACUUGCACCUGUUUUAGACUGUGUACUUGAAUUCCAUUUAUUGCAAACUGUCCUGAAACUAUUGAUUAAGUACCUCUAUUUUUCUUCACUUGUGAAUUUUUGUCCUAAAAGGGGCACAUUUAGCAUAUGACUACUUGUGAGAAAGUCAUUAAUCUGGUUGCUAAGUAAUAAAUAAAUAUAAAAAUCUUUA